rnacentral:rRNA from 1 species
CACGUAGGGUGCGAGCGUUGUCCGGAUUUAUUGGGCGUAAAGAGCGUGUAGGCGGCCUGGAAGGUCAGCCUGUGAAAACUCGAGGCUCAACCUCGAGACGUCGGUUGAAACCACCUGGCUAGAGUCCGGAAGAGGAGAGUGGAAUUCCCGGUGUAGCGGUGAAAUGCGCAGAUAGUCGGGAAGAACACCCGUGGCGAAGG